rnacentral:lncRNA from 1 species
UACUCCAUCCCGAGUAGCCAUGGGCUUACCAUAGAAGGAACAAACUCUUAAUCUUAGAACUGCUUUAGGCAGUGGGCGUGAUGGUUAAAAACUCGGCCUUUGGCGUCGACCUCAGACGGAGAUCUACCAAUUAGGAAAUUAGCUGUGAUUUAGAAAAUUUAAUAUUUCGAUGCCAUACUUUCCUAAUCUGCAAAAUUUUUGUAAAUACCUGUGACCUAGUGUCGUGAGCGCUUAGCAACACCUGACACCCACUAAGCUCUCAGCCAGUGGUUCUGAAAGUGGUUCUAGACCAGCAACAACAGCAGUAGCAGCAGCACCUGUGAACUUGUUAGAAAUGCAAAGUUUCAGGCCCAUUCCAGUUCUACUGAAUCUGAAACUCGAAGGGAACAGCAACCUAUGUUUUAAUAAACCCCAAGAAAGAUCAAUGGAAACCCAUCUCAAGGGGAGAAAAUGGACCAUCAUCAAACAAGCCAAUGAGAAGGAUAUC